AUCUCCAUUCCUCCCUUAGCCGGUCAAAAGUACAUCAAAAGGAGGAGUUUCGAGAGGCGCUCGCAGUUUCAGCAGUUCAUGCAAAACAUUCCAAGCUUGAUUGGUUUUGCCACUCCUACAUAACCUAGAAACCAAAUGGGGUAAGCCAAAUUGUCUUUGGGAAAACACCAUGUUUUCUUCCUCGCUUAAAUUUCUCUCCCCUUUCCUGUCUCCCUUCAAUAACUCGCUAAAAAUAAUAUAACCAGUGAUCUCAUCAGGCGGAACCUCGGACAAUGGUUAAAGCAUUUCUUCGAGCACACUGAGCGCGUACUCAACACGUCCGUUUCUUAACAGCCAUCCAUAAAAACAUUGCGAACGUGCGUGUUUUUAAGAGAAGGGUCGAGUUCGUUAAAAA
rnacentral:lncRNA from 1 species